rnacentral:misc_RNA from 1 species
AAUCAUCAGUUUUAAAUUGCUAGAUGCAUGUGAAUCAACAGCCUAAAUUCAUUAUAGCAUUAGUGCAAAAUGGUAUCCAUUGAUUAUUCAAAAGUUGCAAGCACAAACCAGUACAAGAAAAACCUUUUCAGCAGUACAUAAAAAUGUUUUUCUACACCAAAGUAUGGUCAAGCCUUGGGAACGACAAAUUAUCAUCUGUCCUCUUAGACAAGAAAAAGGCCUAGGGAUCACUCUUUGGCAGGUCACACAGCUCACAUGUAUAAAUAAUAGUGGCCAAGGUUUCUUAAAUUAGAAUGAAGAAAUAAUUUCUAUUGAUGUCAGUAAGAAAUCAAGACAUAGUACCAGCACUUGAAACCUCAAAAUCUCCUUUUCCGUGUGCACUGUUG